GAUGAAGAACGUAGCGAAAUGCGAUAAGUAAUGCGAAUUGCAGAAUUUCCGUGAGUCAUCGAAUCUUUGAACGCACAUUGCGCCCACUGGUAUUCCGGGGGGCAUGCCUGUCCGAGCGUCAUUGCUGCCCUCAAGCACGGCUUGUGUGUUGGGCCCCGUCCUCCGAUCCCGGGGGACGGGCCCGAAAGGCAGCGGCGGCACCGCGUCCGGUCCUCGAGCGUAUGGGGCUUUGUCACCCGCUCUGUAGGCCCGGCCGGCGCUUGCCGAUCAACCCAAAUUUUUAUCCAGGUUGACCUCGGAUCAGGUAGGGAUACCCGCUGAACUUAAGCAUAUCAAUAAGCGGAGGA
rnacentral:misc_RNA from 1 species